rnacentral:rRNA from 1 species
UCAGUCGACUCCUACGGGGAGGCAGCAGUGGGGGAAUAUUGCACAAUGGGCGCAAGCCUGAUGCAGCCAUGCCGCGUGUAUGAAGAAGGCCUUCGGGUUGUAAAGUACUUUCAGCAGUGAGGAAGGCGGAGUCGUUAUAGCGGCUCGUUUGACGUUAGCUGCAGAAGAAGCACCGGCUAACUCCGUGCCAGCAGCCGCGGUAAUACGGAGGGUGCGAGCGUUAAUCGGAAUUACUGGGCGUAAAGCGCAUGCAGGUGGUUUGUUAAGUCAGAUGUGAAAGCCCGGGGCUCAACCUCGGAAUUGCAUUUGAAACUGGCAGACUAGAGUACUGUAGAGGGGGGUAGGAAUUUCAGGUGUAGCGGUGAAAUGCGUAGAGAUCUGAAGGAAUACCGGUGGCGAAGGCGGCCCCCUGGACAGAUACUGACACUCAGAUGCGAAAGCGUGGGGAGCAAACAGGAUUAGAUACCCUGGUAG